rnacentral:rRNA from 2 species
AAGGGCACCACAAGAACGCGUGGAGCAUGUGGCUUAAUUUGACUCAACGCGGGAAAUCUUACCGGGUCCGGACACACUGAGGAUUGACAGGCAAUAUUAAUUUCUGUACUUUCGGGUGCGUUAUUAUGUUAAAUAUGCUAGUCCUUUCAUGAUUAUGUGAUAGGUGGUGCAUGGCCGUUCUUAGUUCGUGGAGUGAUCUGUCUGCUUAAUUGCGUUUCACUAAGGGCCUAUAAAUUUACGUGUGUUGCGGCACUUUGACCCCUCUUUUAUUAGAGCGCGCGUCUUAGUUUGCUUAGCUCACACAAUUAGGCUCUGAAAGCAACGGACGUGACCGCAACCUCUUGUUGCCUUUAUACCAAACAUGAUGUAUUUUGAUCUCUUUCGGGAGUGACUGAGUCUCAUGAAAAAAGGCUUUUUAAACUAGAGGGACCGCUGUUACUUUCUUAAACCAGAGGAAGGUUGCGGCAAUAACAGGUCUGUGAUGCCCUUAGAUGUUCCGGGCUGCACACGUGCUACAAUGAUUAUUGCAGUGAGCAUCUCAUUUUUUACACACCGCAUACGCGAGUCCAUUUAUUCACUCUCGGGUGCUUUAAAUGUGUAUCUCUGCGAGCGGUAAAGCCUGCUUCGAAAGUAAGUGGGUAAUCAAUUAGAAGUAAUGAUUUCCUUUUUUUUCAGCACACAUAUAUACGGCGUUUAUACCCGGGCUGCCUUGUUGUAGCUUUUGUGCGUAUAGAUGUUUUUUCCGUAUGUGCGAUUGUCAAUUCAUGGUGGGGACAGACCAUUGUUAAUUGUUGGUCUCGGUCUUAACUAGGAAUGCCUUGUACGGGUCUUUGGUUCAACAAACCACCCGGAAUACGUCCCUGCCCUUUGUACACACCGCCCGUCGCUCUUACCGAUGGACUUCUCUGUGAGUUUGAGGGACUGGGAACGCAUAGAUUUUAUCUAACGCACACCUAUGGAAACUUAAACGAACAGUGUGGUCUAAAGGAAAGAGAAGUCGAACAAGGCAUCGGUAGGUGAACCUGCAGAAGGAUCA